GCGGUAACAGGAUGACAGGCCAGGCCCUCCCUCCUGCGGGGGCAGAACCCACUCCCUCCCUCCGCGGCAUAACCUGACAUGGGUAUCUUUAGGAUGUGCUCCCAGACAGAGAGUGGGCGAGGAGAGGUGUGAAUGGCUCUCACUUCAGGACGUGACGGUGCAUCAUGGGACUCUUUCUUCUCCAAUGCUAUCUCCAAAACUGACUCUCACUAAAUGGAUGAAAAUUUCCAGCAUUUGCCCAAUGCGCAAGGUGGUAUGAAGCUAUGUAAAGUAGCAAGCACAUGGAAGUAAAAAGAAUACCUGAUCAUGAUGGAGCCCACUCUCAGAGCUACAAGACAUCUUGGGAUGAUGGGACCAUGUCAUGGCUAAUAUCCGCAGAUGGAAUACUCAGUAACAAAGAAAGAGUGGCCAUUUUAUAAUGGAUUCAAGUCGUCAAACAACUUCACCGUCCAAAGUUAGAAAGUCUAAGAGCAUUGUGCCAGGAAGAAAACACAAGGCUACAUUGUCACAUGUGGAAAUAUACAAUGGUAUUCCAGGCACCUCUGUGAUAAAAGUGCUUCAAAUUAGAACAGCACAUUCAUUGUUACUAAGGUUUUUCAUAAGACCACACUGUCC